UGAAGAAGUGAUCUUAUUGUGGUUUCGUCAUGUAUAUAAAUUGUUCCAUUGCUAAGCUAAGCAUAACCCCUAAGCUUCCAUUUCAGUCCUGUCACUCAAAUAAUGUUAUCCAAUAUAUUUAACAUUAACACAAGUUAGUUUUCUGUUUAUAAACAUGAUGGUAGCAGUUUUGGACGCAUAGCAUGACAGAUAGAUUUAGCUAUCUAUCUGUGCUACGGUAGGAAAAUCUGAUGAGGUAGCACUGAUAGUUAGGAUACCGGGCUGCUGAAGUAGAGCCGGUGGAAAAGGGGCAGAUUCCUGACACUGUGUUCAUUUUGGUAACCAUUAAAGCUGAUUUCUCAACUUGUUUAUUGUUUUCUAGACCGUGUCCGUCCUCACCUUCUACAAACCAUUUCAUGACAGUUGCUUGGGAAUAUGUUGUCCCAAGCAACAUAGUGGAUUACUAUGCUGCUUGGGGCAUAAUAAUCCCAAACAACACCAACAUCAACAAGGAACAUGACAACUGUGGAGAGUAGAGAUUUUUACUCCUAUACUGUGGGAAUGACUGCAGCAGGUUACUACACCCACCACCUCUCCACUACACCUCCACAACCCUCCACAUACACACUUUACCCCAUAAAUCUUAGUGCAAGGAUGAGCGUGUAAAAUAGUUAAAGAAUAAAUAAUGAGCCUUUCAUGUUUAUGUUUGUUUUCUGGUAAUCCUGACAUUAACUGAAACAGCUCUGGACACUUAACAGUGGCAGACCUUUCCUAAAAAUUGUACAGUAACUUGUAGAAAAAAUUACAGGCUGAAAUAUAUUUAUGAUUAUCUUAACUAACACAAAUUUUUAUUGCUAAAAUAGAUUUACAUCACAUGGAUUUGUAAACACACUCUAAUUGGCCUCUUACUUAAAAAUAGUUAGCUAUUUAUGUCGGUAUGGAGAGCCUUGCGAAGUCAAUGAGAAAAAUCAAUAUAUGGUAUAAAUUAACAAUGUACUGCAAUUUCUUACCUGCCGUUGUGCACCUGCAGAACAUGAGAAGUAUCACUAUCUUCAUCUUUCUUAGAAAGUUUACGUGCAAAUGAAGGUUUGAGGGGAAGUCUGACUUGCUUAACUUGUUAGCUAAAUCUAGAAAUGCUUUCUGUUUUAUGCUCUUAAUUGUACAGUAUAAUGUAAUCUUUGAGAGUUAAGGCAGAGUUUCAGAAAGAGCAGGAGUUUUUAAAGCAACAGAGGCCCUAUUUCAAGGUGUUAAAUUGCAAAGUCAAAUUUCAAGAAAAAUGGAGGAUGAGCUGUGGUAAAAGGCUCAAACAAAGGCCUAGGUGGAGUGCACCAUCUGAUCUGGUUUCAAAUCCUGUUUGACAAGAUCAAGUGCAGGGAACCCAAAAGAUAGUUAUCAUUCCAAGUGAAAUCAAUCUGUUAGCAACACAUUAAAACACAAAGCAGCUUUUAAAAAUUACACCAGAUGAUAAUGAAGACAUAUUUUAAAAAUAUAUUUACAGAAAAGUUGUUUUUCUGUCUUCUUUUUAGCAUCCUUAAUAAACACAUUGAAUUUAUUUCAUACUCCAUCACCACUGAUUCUGUCCUCACUUAAUCAGAGGGACAUUUCACUUUUUUUUUUUUGUGAGAAGUGAUGUUUGCAUGAGAUUAAUUGACUCAACAUUAAAUAUCUUUGCAUGCUAGUUAUGCAUGCUAAAAUACACUAAAAAGGCAAAUUUUUGAAAAAUCCAUUUCUUUUAAAUGCAUGCGGUACAUAGCUUUAAUAAUAAAGGAUCAUUGUCAAAACGUGACAAUUGAGUACAUAUGAAGAUGAAUGACGUCUGAAAAUAGUUAUAUUUAGCCGUCAGAAUACAGAAUACAGCCCCGCCUCUAACAAACCUUUCCAUAACGGUUUGAUUACUGUCACUGUCUUUGAUGUCAUUAUUAAUAGUAGCUUUUAGAAAAACAUUCCUCAAUUAUUGAUGUCUUUGCAGUUAUUCUCAAUUUGCCAGAUGGGCAAGUGUUCAUAAAAUAAUAAAUUACAUUUUACGAAACAAACAAAUGAAAAUAAUGCAUCUGUUAACAUGUCAUUGCUGAAUGACAUUUUGCUUUCCACUAACUCUUGUUGCUGCCUGCACUCCUCAAACACUGUGGGAGGGGCAGUUAAUGACAGUGGUUCUUGUUUCAAGUAUCUGCAGUCAUUUAUGUUUUAAUCUUGGUUUGUGCUCUCAGCUCAACAGACAAAGUUUGAGAGGAUUUAAAAGCUCGGCUUUCUGGGAAAGAUGUGUCUUUACACAAACAAAAUAUUAAUAUUGCUUCUUCUCUGCCAGGCUUCAUCAUCAGUCAAAAAUUCAUUGACAAUUUUUGCCAUUAUUUCGACUGGAAUCAGGGAUCUUCCAGAUCUGUUUACAAUAGUAAUUGAAGACAAAUUGAAUAUUCAUUUUGCCAACAAAAUUUUUGGCACCUGUUAAAAUUGCAAUUUAUUAAUUUGAUUAUAAUUAGUUACUAAAUAGUGUGUUAUUUCAAAUGAAACAAGGUGUUGUGCUAUGAAAUAAUCUGUUUUUUUCUUCGUCUGGCUUCAAAAUUUCCUGACCCAAGUUCAUAUCCCACCUAUCCAGGAACCAUUCAAAAUUGUCAGCAUAAUUUUGAAAUACAAUAAGUUUAUGAUCGAAAUCUGCUUUGUGAGUGGGAUCAAAAGGAUAGACAAAACAAAAACUAUUAUAAAACCAACAUUACUUGUGACUGAUUUUCUAUCAGUCACAAGUAUGUGAGCAAUUAAAUUGACAGGUAGGAUAAUCGGACGUGGCAAGAGUUAGAUAAAUAUAUUGUCUUAACUUUUGUAUAAACUGAAAUAAAAGCAAUAUUUUAAUGAGGAAAACAUGCAGUUUUUAUCUAUCUUGCUUGGCAGUUCCAAACUUUAAGUUCUGUUUAUUCCUUUACUGUAUAUUUUGCAUGAUAUGAUUUCCUUGAAAUAAGUUGUUUUGCAUGACAAUUUGUCAGAUCAUUGUAUAACUUGAAUGAUGAACAAUGUCCUAAUCGAUUAACUUCUUCCUGCUUUCUAUUUUGUUGUGCCUGUUUAAUGAAUUAUUAAAGAUAUGUUUUAUUGUAAUAGUUUGUUUCUUGUUCUUGAGCUCUUUUACUAGAGUGUAAACAUCAAAAUUACUAACUACAUUUUAACCAUAAAUAAUUUACCUUGUUUGUUAAAACUUAUGUUGAACAGUUUAUAAAAAUGGAGUGGACAGGCAGAAAAAAAAA